UGAGGAAUAUUGGACAAUGGGCGCAAGCCUGAUCCGGCCAUGCCGCGUGCAGGAUGACGGUCCUAUGGAUUGUAAACUGCUUUUAUACAGGAAGAAACACUACUUCGUGAAGUAGCUUGACGGUACUGUAAGAAUAAGGAUCGGCUAACUCCGUG
rnacentral:rRNA from 1 species